GAUGAACGCUGGCGGCGUGCCUAAUACAUGCAAGUAGAACGCUGAAGGAGGAGCUUGCUCUUCUGGAUGAGUUGCGAACGGGUGAGUAACGCGUAGGUAACCUGCCUGGUAGCGGGGGAUAACUAUUGGAAACGAUAGCUAAUACCGCAUGACAACAGUUAUUGCAUGAUAACUGUUUAAAAGGGGCAACUGCUCCACUACCAGAUGGACCUGCGUUGUAUUAGCUAGUUGGUGAGGUAACGGCUCACCAAGGCGACGAUACAUAGCCGACCUGAGAGGGUGAUCGGCCACACUGGGACUGAGACACGGCCCAGACUCCUACGGGAGGCAGCAGUAGGGAAUCUUCGGCAAUGGACGGAAGUCUGACCGAGAAACGCCGCGUGAGUGAAGAAGGGUUUCGGAUCGUAAAGCUCUGUUGUAAGAGAAGAACGAGUGUGAGAGUGGAAAGUUCACACUGUGACGGUAUCUUACCAGAAAGGGACGGCUAACUACGUG
rnacentral:rRNA from 1 species